UACGUAGGGGGCAAGCGUUGUCCGGAAUCAUUGGGCGUAAAGAGCGUGUAGGCGGUUCGGCAAGUCGGGUGUGAAACCCCCAGGCUCAACCUGGGGACGCCACCCGAUACUGCUGUGACUUGAGUCCGGUAGGGGAGCGUGGAAUUCCUGGUGUAGCGGUGAAAUGCGCAGAUAUCAGGAGGAACACCAGCGGCGAAGGCGGCGCUCUGGGCCGGAACUGACGCUGAGGAGCGAAAGCAUGGGGAGCGAACAGG
rnacentral:rRNA from 1 species